AGGACUUUGACCACUUUUGAUACUCUAGUGUUGGUAAGUGGAUCCAUACCUGAAUGGGGGAAACAUGGUUAAUGACUCAAGACAUUAUGUGACACCACAACAUUUUCUAGGGGACGGUUAGGCUAUUUUUGCAAAAUGGCAUGAGGGUCGAAGGUGGCUAAAAGUGCAAUCUCAACAAAGGUGACCUCAAAGACAUGGAAAUAACUCACUAAAGCUUAUACGGAUUCAAACUCCCAAUAAUCAUAGCCCAAAAUUAAUUUGCAGAAAUGACCCAUUUUGCAAAAACGACCGAUAUGGCCAAAAGUGGCUAAAGAUGCAAACUCGAAAAAGAUGGAACUUAAAGUAAUAUGACACCUGGUUGUGGACUCAAGAUCCUAAGACAUGGGUCACGGAGGUACCUUUGCAAAAAUGGCCCCAUUUUGCGGCAAUGGCCGAUGUGGCCAAAGGUGGCUAGACAUGCAAGAUUUGGCUAAGACCCCGCGAAGUCAAGAACCUAAGACUCACUAGGAAGACCAGACCCUAUGUGAGUUGUCUACGUAUCCCACCCCGAAAGACGAGAAUCAGGUAUGCGUAGUUCGGGAAGAUCGAACAUGGAAGAAAGCUUUAAAAUGAAAUACAACUAGUUUGGAAAAACUAUUUUUUGUCUUUUUGAAAAAUGUGGAAAAUGUAAAAUCUUUUUGGAUUUUCUUUUUCACUUUUUUCUUGAUUUUUGGAAAACUAUGAAAGAAAAAUGUGAGUGGGCCCUACUUGCUUCACUUUAUAUUUCAUCCUCAAAUUUCCUUGGUCCGCCAAAUGACCCUUUUACCCCUAAAGAGAUGCAGCACGUAGCACAUAAGGAUGAUUAAAUGUCUUUUUGGGCCAUAAGCCCAUUUUAACAUAAUUUGGAUAGGCCUCCUACAACGGGACACGGUGCCUGGGACCGAUCCCUGCUAGGUUUAAAUGAUAUGAUACACAUAAGCAUGACCUAAAGGCUGACCUAUGGUUGGGGUUCACUAGACAAGGCAAUUCAGGGCGACACGUGGUCGAUGUCGGCUGCUCUAAUUGUCCGCCCUUUAUGCAAAUGAUGACAAUUUAUAAAGCAGUAACACAUAAAGAAAAUAUUGUAAACAAAGAAGCAACUAGCAAAUAAAACGACAUAAGCAAAAAUAAAAAUCACAUAAAGCAAACAAAACACAUAAAAACCUCAACCGAAUAUCCUAAAAAGCCAACAAGAUCAAGUACUAGCUCGAACCUGCAACUCCCCAGCAGAGUCGCCAGAGCUGUCACACCCCUUUUUACUACUUCACUAACCCUCUUAAAAUAUAAAAGGAUUUAUAAAGCUCAAAGGGUUUUUCAAUUUGAGAGUGACAAAAGAUAUGUUUAAAAGGAUUUCUCUCAGAGUCGCCACCUAGCAUUGUUUUUUGGUGUGCCAGGUCACCAUUUUAGAAAAUAAUUUUCCUUUUAAACAAUUGGACUCAAAACUAAGUCGGCACCAGAGAUUUGGGUAAGGGGCUUCAUUUGACUCGGGGAGAAGGUGUUAGGCGCUCCCCAAGUCCCGUAACUAGUACGGUUGUGUACUCGAUCAAGUUGGCUUUUGAAAUUUCAAAUUGAGGCGAAAAACACAGAAAAAGAAAAAUAAACACACAAGCGGCUCGAGGUCGUCCACACCAAGAUUAAAUAAAAUAAGAAAAUAAUAAAAGUCUAUACUAUGCUCACUCUACUAUGUCUGUCACGGCCUUCAAUUACAUCCACUUAGGGGUAUACCCCUGAUAAAAGAACACAAAAAAUAUAUAUACAAACUCUACGGGGCAUUCCCCUGAUGAAUUAACUAACUAAAAGGGACGACCUCUCACCUCGAACGAACAAAUCCUAAAGAAUGCCUACCCAGGUGUGGUCGGCCUAAACAUGCUCCUAACGAUAAUAUGUUAAAAAUGCAAUAAAUAAAAGAGAACUAAAUAAAAUCAGGAUUCAAUUCAUGCUCAAAUUCUUUUAAUCCAUUUAAACCCAAACCCCAUGAGCCAUUUCAAGCAAUUUAUCCAAACUGUCCACACAAAUAAAGACAAGGGAAACAUCAGAAAAGUAACUAUUCAAAAGACACAUAAUAUUUGUAGCAAAUGAACGGGCUGACAUAGAAUACCAAGAAUUACUAUAGGAGGGAAAGGGAAAGAAAAACAAAAUGAAUUAAAACAUUGAUACGCACCAUAACCCUAUAUUAAUCCCAAUUCAUGUAUAUUAUCUCUUAAUUUGCUAAGAAUAGAAAAUUCCCAAAUGACAUCUAACCAGUAAUCCUGUCGUAAUUCAAGUCCAAAAAUAAGAUCAAAAAUCAAUUAUAUAAGCUAAUCAGUUUACUUUCACCAAAUGUAACUUCUAUAUAUAUGAAUUUCACUCAAAAACAAAUACCUACUAGUUUUCGGUCCACUCCUAAACUCCACACAAUUUUAGAAUGCAUUUUAAACUUAUCUGAAGCUAGCAGCAAAUAAGACCUUGGAAACGAAUUUUGUCUCACCUUUUAAACGGAAAAGAAUAGAAAAGGUACUAGUAAAAAGAGUUUUAACUUGAAGCAAGCAAUGGAACUAUUUCUUAAUCUAAGAGCAAAAAGUUAAUGAAACGGAUAACCAAAGGUGGAGUUGACAGAAUAUUCAUGGAGAUUCGAAGAAAAUAAGUUAUUUGACCUUAAUCGACCGAGAUGCUAUUUUAAUGCUAGAUUGGAGGGACCUGACAUGGACUAAGCUUAAACUAGGUGAAGUAAUUCUUCAAAUAGCAAUUUGAUCACACAAACAGUAAAGCCACGACUCAAUGGCAAACAUAAUCACAUACUUCAAUCUCUAGCACAAUAAGGAUCAAGGAAAUAUGUUAUUCAUUUCUGCAGAUUCAGAUUCAUUUAUAGUCAAAGUAUUCAACAAGAACAAUUUAACAAAUUAGAUCAAGCGCACAGAACAACAGCUCGACACAUACGAACAAAUCAAAAUAGGGACAGAGGUUGUAGAUGUGAACCUGAAGUUAAACUUUAAUUAAUAAAACUUCCUUAGUAACACAAGGAGAAAUCAAAGCAGCGGUUGUGACCAAAAUUCGUCACGACGAUCAAACUAUGAACAGAAGAAGCGAACCGAACCUCGAACGACGAACACGACUCCGACCUCAAGCAAACUGAAUGGCGGGCGAAUUUUUAGAACCCAAAAUGCUCCAAUCUAAUCCCAUGAUCAAAAAUGAAACAAAACUGAAAAUAAGUUUUUUUGUUUGUUUUGUUUUGUAUUUUUCAAAGAAGAACGAACUUCUGAAGCAAAAAUAUAUAACCCCAAGUAUAUAUUUUCUGAACUGAACUGAAAACGAAGUUCAGAACCCUGGUUUUUCUCCAAUUUUGUCCAAAGAACCCUAGAACUUCCCCCCCCCCCCUCCCCCCCUCUUUUUGUCCUGAAAUCCCAAAUAUAUAGGUAGCCUAGAAGCUUCUUCUUCCUUCCUCUCCAAGAAAAUCAAAAACCUUCUCCAAAAAGUCCCAAAAAAUUCAAAUUUUAUCCCUUUUUGUGGCAAUCAAGGACAGAUGGAUGGAGUAGAUCGAGUGUAACUCGAUCCUACGCCUCCCAUUUUUCCUUUUUUUCCCAAAAAAAAAGAUAAAAUCAAAAAAGAUGAGGAGAAAAUGUGUAUUCAUGAUUACAGACACGUGGAGGAAGGACAGGGGAGUAGAGGGGGGACCAUGGGAUGAACUCGUUGGUUUUCCAGCGAGUUGGAGGCAGGCAGAAUCGGAAUGGGGUGGGGCAUCG
rnacentral:lncRNA from 1 species